rnacentral:rRNA from 1 species
UACGUAGGGUGCAAGCGUUGUCCGGAAUUAUUGGGCGUAAAGAGCUCGUAGGCGGUUUGUUGCGUCGGCUGUGAAAUCCCGAGCUCAACCUCGGGUCUGCAGUCGAUACGAGCAAACUAGAGUGUUGCAGGGGAGACUGGAAUUCCUGGUGUAGCGGUGAAAUGCGCAGAUAUCAGGAGGAACACCGGUGGGCGAAGGCGGGGUCUCCUGGGCAACAACUGA